UAGAGUUUGAUUUUGGCUCACAUUGAACNCUGGCGGCAGGCCUAACACAUGCNAGUCAAGCGGAAACGAUGGGAGCUUGCUCCCAGGCGUCNAGCGGCGGACGGGUGAGUAACACGUGGGAAUCUGCCCAUUAGUGGGGGAUAACUCGGGGAAACUCGAGCUAAUACCGCAUAAGCCCUUCGGGGGAAAGAUUUAUCGGGAAAGGAUUGGCCCGCGUUANAUUANAUAGUUGGUGGGGUAAUGGCCUACCAAGUCUACGAUCUAUAGCUGGUUUUAGAGGAUGAUCAGCAGCNNUGGGACUGAGACACGGCCCAGACUCCUACGGGAGGCAGCAGUGGGGAAUCUUANACAAUGGGCGCAAGCCUGAUCUANCCAUGCCGCGUGUGUGAUGAAGGUCUUAGGAUCGUAAAGCACUUUCGCCAGGGAUGAUAAUGACAGUACCUGGUAAANAAACCCCGGCUAACUCCGUGCCAGCAGCCGCGGUAAUACGGAGGGGGUUAGCGUUGUUCGGNAUUAC
rnacentral:rRNA from 1 species